GAUGAACGCUGGCGGCGUGCCUAAUACAUGCAAGUAGAACGCUGAAGCUUGGUGCUUGCCCCGAGCGGAUGAGUUGCGAACGGGUGAGUAACGCGUAGGUAACCUGCCUGGUAGCGGGGGAUAACUAUUGGAAACGAUAGCUAAUACCGCAUAACAGUAGAUAUUGCAUGAUAUCUGCUUGAAAGGUGCAAAUGCAUCACUACCAGAUGGACCUGCGUUGUAUUAGCUAGUUGGUGAGGUAACGGCUCACCAAGGCGACGAUACAUAGCCAACCUGAGAGGGUGAUCGGCCACACUGGGACUGAGACACGGCCCAGACUCCUACGGGAGGCAGCAGUAGGGAAUCUUCGGCAAUGGGGGGAACCCUGACCGAGCAACGCCGCGUGAGUGAAGAAGGGUUUCGGAUCGUAAAGCUCUGUUGUAAGAGAAGAACGAGUGUGAGAGUGGAAAGUUCACACUGUGACGGUAUCUUACCAGAAAGGGACGGCUAACUACGUG
rnacentral:rRNA from 1 species